rnacentral:rRNA from 1 species
UACGAAGGGGGCUAGCGUUGCUCGGAAUUACUGGGCGUAAAGCGCGCGUAGGCGGACCUGCAAGUCGGGGGUGAAAGCCUGUGGCUCAACCACAGAAUUGCCUUCGAUACUGUUAGGCUUGAGUUCGGGAGAGGUGAGUGGAACUGCGAGUGUAGAGGUGAAAUUCGUAGAUAUUCGCAAGAACACCAGUGGCGAAGGCGGCUCACUGGCCCGAUACUGACGCUGAGGCACGAAAGCGUGGGGGAGCAAACAGGG